GGAGGCAGCAGUAGGGAAUCUUCCACAAUGGACGCAAGUCUGAUGGAGCAACGCCGCGUGAGUGAAGAAGGGUUUCGGCUCGUAAAGCUCUGUUGUUAAAGGAGAACGUGGGUAAGAGUAACUGUUUACCCAGUGACGGUAUCUAAUCAGAAAGCCACGGCUAACUACGUGCCAGCAGCCGCGGUAAUACGUAGGUGGCAAGCGUUAUCCGGAUUUAUUGGGCGUAAAGCGAGCGCAGGCGGUCUUUUAAGUCUAAUGUGAAAGCCUUCGGCUCAACCGAAGAAGUGCAUUGGAAACUGGGAGACUUGAGUGCAGAAGAGGACAGUGGAACUCCAUGUGUAGCGGUGAAAUGCGUAGAUAUAUGGAAGAACACCAGUGGCGAAGGCGGCUGUCUGGUCUGCAACUGACGCUGAGGCUCGAAAGCAUGGGUAGCGAACAGGAUUAGAUACCCUGGUAGUCCAUGCCGUAAACGAUGAUUACUAAGUGUUGGAGGGUUUCCGCCCUUCAGUGCUGCAGCUAACGCAUUAAGUAAUCCGCCUGGGGAGUACGACCGCAAGGUUGAAACUCAAAAGAAUUGACGGGGGCCCGCACAAGCGGUGGAGCAUGUGGUUUAAUUCGAAGCUACGCGAAGAACCUUACCAGGUCUUGACAUCUUCUGACAGUCUAAGAGAUUAGAGGUUCCCUUCGGGGACAGAAUGACAGGUGGUGCAUGGUUGUCGUCAGCUCGUGUCGUGAGAUGUUGGGUUAAGUCCCGCAACGAGCGCAACCCUUAUUACUAGUUGCCAGCAUUAAGUUGGGCACUCUAGUGAGACUGCCGGUGACAAACCGGAGGAAGGUGGGGACGACGUCAAAUCAUCAUGCCCCUUAUGACCUGGGCUACACACGUGCUACAAUGGAUGGUACAACGAGUCGCGAGACCGCGAGGUUAAGCUAAUCUCUUAAAACCAUUCUCAGUUCGGACUGUAGGCUGCAACUCGCCUACACGAAGUCGGAAUCGCUAGUAAUCGCGGAUCAGCAUGCCGCGGUGAAUACGUUCCCGGGCCUUGUACACACCGCCCGUCACACCAUGAGAGUUUGUAACACCCAAAGCCGGUGGGGUAACCUUUUAGGAGCUAGCCGUCUAAGGUGGGACAGAUGAUUAGGGUGAAGUCGUAACA
rnacentral:rRNA from 1 species